rnacentral:rRNA from 1 species
UAGUCCACGCCGUAAACGAUGGUCACUAGCUGUUCGGACUUCGGUCUGAGUGGCUAAGCGAAAGUGAUAAGUGACCCACCUGGGGAGUACGUUCGCAAGAAUGAAACUCAAAGGAAUUGACGGGGGCCCGCACAAGCGGUGGAGCAUGUGGUUUAAUUCGAUGAUACGCGAGGAACCUUACCAGGGCUUAAAUGUAAGUUGCAUUAGCUAGAGAUAGUUAUUUCUUCGGACUACUUACAAGGUGCUGCAUGGUUGUCGUCAGCUCGUGCCGUGAGGUGUCAGGUUAAGUCCUAUAACGAGCGCAACCCCUGUUCGUUAGUUGCCAGCGAUUUAAGUCGGGAACUCUAACAAGACUGCCAGUGCAAACUGUGAGGAAGGUGGGGAUGACGUCAAAUCAUCACGGCCCUUACGUCCUGGGCUACACACGCGCUACAAUGGUAGGGACAGAGAGCAGCCACUGGGCGACCAGGAGCGAAUCUAUAACCCUAUCCACAGUUCGGAUCGGAGU